UGCUGCCCACUAGCUAACCUUUUUCUUUAUCAGAAUACAAAUAAUAAAGCAAAAGGAUCGCGCAUGGUGGUGGGGUUACAAAACCUUAAAACCGCUCAAUCUUUAUGGCUUUUUUUAUAUUAUCGCAGGAUAACAAUUAAUAAUUAAAUUGAUCAUUAUUAUUUUGUCUUCUGAUUAAUUAUGUUAUAUCUCCGAAGCGUGGUGCGGCCGGCAAAAGGAAUCUCAUCAUCUUCCUUCUGAAUGCUACAUCAGUGGAGAUCAUUGGCUUUUGUUUUCAAUAAUCAUAGCUCAUGGGUAACGGGUAUCUCUUCCUCUUCUAUUUCAUUGGCCAUAUAUCCAUUUUGUACUCUUUUCUUUUAUUUAUUAUAUUUUAUUUUUUCAGCUUAUUAUGGCUUCCUAUUCUUCUUAAUUUCGUCAUCAAUCAUCAUCUGUAGUUCCAAAUACCAGCUGUCAUGGCCCAUGUAACACACUCAUAUGGCGAUCUUGAUCUUCCGUUUUCAAUGAGUUUUUAGUAAUGAGAAGGGGCUCCUUGAUGAUUCCAAAAUGGUCCCCCAAUGUCUUCUAGUUAUAAAUUGCUUGCUAAUCUU
rnacentral:lncRNA from 1 species